UCCCCGUUACCGGGGCAGUCUGAAUAGAAAAAUCCAACUAUUCAUAAGGGUUGCGCUCGUUGAUGGACUUAACCAAACAUCUCACGACACGAGCUGACGACGGCCAUGCAUCACCUGUCACCUUGCUCAAUAAAGCACUCUCGUCUUUCGACAAAAUUCAAGGGAUGUCAAGCCCUGGUAAGGUUUUUCGUUUAUCAUCGAAUUAAAGAACACGCUCCACCGCUUGUGCGGGUCCCCGUCAAUUCCUUUAUGUUUUAGCCUUGCGGCCGUACUCCCCAGGCGGGACGCUUAACGCGUUAGCUGCGCCACUGAUAAGCAUGCUUACCAACGGCUAGCAUCCAUCGUUUACGGCGUGGACUAC
rnacentral:misc_RNA from 1 species